rnacentral:lncRNA from 1 species
AACACUCUUUUUGUGACUUAUGUCAGGAUGAUGCUGAGGACCUUCAACACUGUAUAGUUUCUUGUCCUUAUAUGGCUGAGAUUUGAUUGAAUCUUAAGAGAACAUAUCUUUCACCUUACAAUGUCAGCUCUCUGGAUGAUUUAGUCAAUCUCUCUACCAAUCCCACUAUUCCUCAUCCUCACAAUUUCAUUAUUUGCUAUAUAGCC